CCUACGGGCGACAGCAGUGAGGAAUAUUGGUCAAUGGACGAGAGUCUGAACCAGCCAAGUAGCGUGAAGGAUGACUGCCCUAUGGGUUGUAAACUUCUUUUAUAUGGGAAUAAAAUGUUCCACGUGUGGGAUUUUGUAUGUACCAUAUGAAUAAGGAUCGGCUAACUCCGUGCCAGCAGCCGCGGUAAUACGGAGGAUCCGAGCGUUAUCCGGAUUUAUUGGGUUUAAAGGGAGCGUAGGUGGAUUGUUAAGUCAGUUGUGAAAGUUUGCGGCUCAACCGUAAAAUUGCAGUUGAAACUGGCAGUCUUGAGUACAGUAGAGGUGGGCGGAAUGCGUGGUGUAGCGGUGAAAUGCUUAGAUAUCACGAAGAACUCCGAUUGCGAAGGCAGUUCACUGGACUGCAACUGACACUGAGGCUCGAAAGUGUGGGUAUCAAACAGGAUUAGAUACCCCAGUAGUC
rnacentral:rRNA from 1 species